GACGAACGCUGGCGGCGUGCUUAACACAUGCAAGUCGAACGGUGAAGCUCCAGCUUGCUGGAGUGGAUCAGUGGCGAACGGGUGAGUAACACGUGAGCAACCUGCCCCUGACUCUGGAAUAAGCGCUGGAAACGGCGUCUAAUACUGGAUACGAGAAGGGUCCGCAUGGGCACUUUCUGGAAAGUUUGUCGGUUGGGGAUGGGCUCGCGGCCUAUCAGCUUGUUGGUGAGGUAAUGGCUCACCAAGGCGACGACGGGUAGCCGGCCUGAGAGGGCGACCGGCCACACUGGGACUGAGACACGGCCCAGACUCCUACGGGAGGCAGCAGUGGGGAAUAUUGCACAAUGGGCGGAAGCCUGAUGCAGCGACGCCGCGUGAGGGAUGACGGCCUUCGGGUUGUAAACCUCUUUCAGCAGGGAAGAAGCGAAAGUGACGGUACCUGCAGAAGAAGCACCGGCUAACUACGUG
rnacentral:rRNA from 1 species